rnacentral:rRNA from 1 species
AUUGAACGCUGGCGGCGUGCUUAACACAUGCAAGUCGAUCGGUAACAGGGUGUAGCAAUACAUGCUGACGAGAGGCGGACGGGUGAGUAAUGCUUGGGAAUCUGCCUAUUAGUGGGGGACAACCCGGGGAAACUCGGGCUAAUACCGCAUACGCUCUACGGAGGAAAGCCGGGGACCGCAAGGCCUGGCGCUAAUAGAUGAGCCCAAGUCGGAUUAGCUAGUUGGAGGGUAACGGCCUACCAAGGCGACAAUCCGUAGCUGGUCUGAGAGGACGACCAGCCACACCGGAACUGAGACACGGUCCGGACUCCUACGGGAGGCAGCAGUGGGGAAUAUUGGACAAUGGGGCAACCCUGAUCCAGCGACGCCGCGUGGGUGGAGAAGGCCUGCGGGUUGUAAAGCCCUUUCGGUGGGGAAGAAAAGUCUCGACCUAAUACGUCGGGACCUUGACCGUAACCCACUAAAGAAG